rnacentral:rRNA from 1 species
AAGAUGACCUGGUUGAUAGGCUUCAGGUGUAAGCAUAGUAAUAUGUUCAGCCGAGAAGUACUAAUAAUCCGAAGGCUUACCCAUGUUU